UCCACUUAACGCUUGCUACGAUCGCGAGUAUCUUUCUAUCCUUGUUUCUCUUGCUUAUUGACCCCUGCCUUUCUGAGUGCCGUUGUCGGUCCACAAUAGGCUUAAAAUACCUGUUGUGGACCGACACUUAUAGCGCCGAGUAGAGUCGUUGUCUACCAGCAAUUGUGAUUCUGAUGUCAUCGUUAAUGACAUGAUGCCAAUGGAUUCCCGACUAUUUUCCAGUGCGACCAAGUGCGACGUGAGCUUAUUCCUACAUCGCAAGAUCUGAUGAUUCCUGUCGUCGAAACAACACCGGUUCCUGGCUGCCAUAGUCCAAUUUUUACAAGAGCGAAUUUGGAUCCUCUGUCCUUUUUAUUCCACCUAUAUAUAUAUAAUACUACACUGUACCACAUAUUUUUUUGUAAACUUAAUUUAUCAUGAACCUAUUUUGAACCUAUCUGGCAUAGGAGACAGGCCUUAGGUUAGUCCAUAGCCAUAACUGAGAAGAAGAUGACAGAUACUAACAUUUGGCGUAGGAGGCUGGACGAUAAACGGCCCAUAGCCAUAAUUGAGUGAAGUGAUUGAUUCGUUUGAAAAUCCGUUUGUUAGAUGUAAACAUUCACGAAGUGUAUUAUAAUUUCGUUAAUUGUCAAUUGACAAGGAUGGCAGUUACUAUUGAGUCUGUGAUAUAUUUGUGUCUCGUGGCAGUUCUCUGGGGCAUGACAAAUCCAUUUAUGAAGAAAGGUGCAGGAGGCUUGGAGAAUGUCAAGGCCACAUCCAUUUAUGGGCAAUUUAUCAAGGAACUUGUAUUCCUUGCUACCAACGUAAAGUAUAUGCUGCCCUUUGUUCUCAAUCAAUGCGGUUCAGUGCUGUAUUUCUUAAUUCUACAGAAUACUGACAUAUCUCUAGCUGUGCCAGUUUCAAAUUCUCUUACUUUUAUAUUCACCGCAAUCACAGGCUGGUUCUUAGGUGAGCAGAAGGUACAUAAAAAUGCAUAUAUAGGAAUGAUAUUUAUAUUGUGUGGAACAUCAUUGUGUUGUUGGGACAAACUAUAUAAAAUUAUGGAAUGAUGACUUUUCUAUGGAACAGAAUUUCAAUAUAUUUGAGAUUGCAAUCAAAUGUCAUGAACGUUUUGUAUAACAUUCAAAACGAAACUAACGGUCAGAGGGGAAAUAAAUCCUGUUCCAUAGAAACGAAACAUUCUAGAAACAUUUGUUUAAAGAUUGGAGGGAUUCUCCAAUCGCUUGAAAGCACAGAACAUUAUAGAAUGAAGUUUUUGAAGAAGAGGAAAGUUGCCUUUAUGGCCUGGAAAAAAAUUUAUUUUAUUUUUUUCGAAAUAUAUGUAUAUAUGUAUAAUA